UACGGAGGAUGCAAGCGUUAUCCGGAAUGAUUGGGCGUAAAGCGUCCGCAGGUGGCUGUGUAAGUCUGCUGUCAAAGAGCGAAGCUCAACUUCGUAAAGGCAGUGGAAACUACACGGCUAGAGUGCGUUCGGGGCAGAGGGAAUUCCUGGUGUAGCGGUGAAAUGCGUAGAGAUCAGGAAGAACACCGGUGGCGAAGGCGGUUGCCUGGGGCUUUGCUGACGCUGAUGCGCGAAAGCGUGGGGAGCGAUCCGG
rnacentral:rRNA from 1 species